ensembl:lncRNA
CCCUGCCCACAGAUAUAUUAUUAAACAAAAUAGAAAUAUAAAAUUUCUAAAAUGCCAUAAAAAUGAACAAGCAAAUGAAGAAAGACUUGAUCAGAUCCUUGUUACAGUGACUGUAACUGACCCAUAAACCCAGCAGAUGUCACUGGUUGUGGUUCACACAAAAGGUGCUAUAUUAAAGCCCUGAGCUUCCUCAUCCUCCUCCUGCCCUCCUCAUUUUGCAUUGUCUCACAUCCUUUAUAUUCCAUGAACAGCAUGAUUUGGUUUAAAAAAAUAGUUGACUCUCACUUUUUUUCCAUCUGUUUGUGAAUUACUGUUAAAUUUGGAUGAAUAUCUCCAGUCAGUGCCAUCUUUCACUUCUGCCCUUUUAAAAAGCCAAACAUACGAGAGGGGGUAAGGACAGUUUUAUCCAUACAUACGAGAGGGGGUAAGGACAGUUUAAUCCAUACAUACGAGAGGGGGUAAGGACAGUUUAAUCCAUACAUACGAGAGGGGGUAAGGACAGUUUAAUCCAUACAUACGAGAGGGGGUAAGGACAGUUUAAUCCAUACAUACGAGAGGGGUAAGGACAGUUUAAUCCAUACAUACGAGAGGGGGUAAGGACAGUUUAAUCCAUACAUACGACAGGGGGUAAGGACAGUUUAAUCCAUACAAUACGACAGGGGGUAAGCAGGUUUAAUCCAUACAUACCGACAAGGGGGUAAGGACCAGUUUAAUCCAUACAUACGACAGGGGGUAAGGACAGUUUAAUCCAUACAUACGAGAGGGGGUAAGGACAGUUUAAUCCAUACAGUGGAGUCUAAAACAUGUAGAUUCAGAAGGCACCCCUCUUGUGCAAAACACCUACUUUGCUAUUUUUGUCACUGUUGUGAAAGACAAAAGAUCUAUAUGAGCCAAGGGGUUCGGCCUCUAAGUUAAUACAAACACAAUUAUACUUAAAAAUACUUUAAAAAUCAAAUAGAGUGUUUGUGUUGUGAGCCGGAAUCCAUAUAAAAUGGUGUCAGUUUCGAGCAGCAUUCAGCAUUGACCUGGUGAAUGGUUCUGCAUGAUCUCGAGUCUCACAUAAAUAUGACUGGAUGGGCUAGUCUUUCUGCCGUCCUGGCUCCCUGCAAACAACAGCAACAACAACACAUCACUGUCGUUUUAGUGAGAGUCCCUCUGAUGUCGUCCUGGCCUGCCAUGCCAAGGUAUGAGCCCGCCGUCUCCCUGCAGGGGCUGUGCCGCGCGCGUGUCUCUGUCUGUCACAUCCAGCCAGGCAGCCGUCUCAUCAGCGCCGAGCUCCUCUCUGGGUCCAGUCCCUGGGGAGUGGCGCUCCUCUCUCCUGGCGUCGGCACUCCCACCAGCCACCUGUCUCUAACCAUUGGGGUUGUGCUCACCGUGAGGUUGUUUGUCCUUCGUUUAGAACAUGCUUCAGAAUGGGUCCCCAUGACAGAUAGUCCAAUGCCUUCUUAAUGGUUUACUUGUAAGCUCCAGAAACAGUGCUUAACAUCCCGCGAGUGUCCAUGCUGUUCUUGUUUCAAGCUUUAAAAUCUUUCACUGUCACCCUUUGUGGUGAAAUGACCACAUGCUUGCUGAGGCUUCUAACAUGUUGGUGCACUUUGAGGUUGACCUUCAUUUCUCAUUCAGUCCUGCCGCUUGUCAACACACACCCUCCGUGCCAUUUGGCCCUGGGAGAAGCAUCCCUUCUUCCUCCUGAAGCGCUGGUGUUGGCCUUCACUGGGUGUGGUUCUCCAGAUGUUCCCGUUUUAGCCAGGCUUGCUUAGGGGAGGGAAAUGUUACCAACAGAUGUUCUGUUCCGCCAGAAAGAAAUGAAAUCAAAAAUAGAAAAGCAUUUGACAAUGCCAUCUGGUCAGAUAAGUGUUUAUUCUUUUGCCCACUACUCUCUCGCACAUUAAAAUCCAACCAGACAACAGCUGCUUAUCAACACAGAAUGCAUAAUGAGCUGAGAUGUGGCGCUUUUUCUAUUCUUAAACUGUGUGAACAGAUUCUCAAGCAUGCUAUGUUGGUGUCUGGCCGGGCCUGUUUGGAAGACUGGUGUUGGGAGUGCAUUCCCCCUGAUUUUCCCCCUUGUUUAAGAAUAAAACGAACCUUUUCUUUCGCAUGCUUUUAGCUUCCACUCCAUACUAUAGAUUUCCACAGUAACUAACACACAGUGAAGGGUUUAGGGCUGAAGGGCUUGAAUUGGGAUGUCACUGCAAAGACAUGUUGGAUCCAUUCG